UACGAAGGGGGCUAGCGUUGUUCGGAAUUACUGGGCGUAAAGCGCACGUAGGCGGAUUGUUAAGUCAGGGGUGAAAUCCUGGAGCUCAACUCCAGAACUGCCUUUGAUACUGGCGAUCUUGAGUCCGGGAGAGGUGAGUGGAACUGCGAGUGUAGAGGUGAAAUUCGUAGAUAUUCGCAAGAACACCAGUGGCGAAGGCGGCUCACUGGCCCGGUACUGACGCUGAGGCGCGAAAGCGCGGGGAGCAAACAGGG
rnacentral:rRNA from 1 species